rnacentral:rRNA from 1 species
GAUGAACGCUGGCGGCGUGCCUAUACAUGCAAGUCGAGCGAACAGACGAGGAGCUUGCUCCUCUGACGUUAGCGGCGGACGGGUGAGUAACACGUGGAUAACCUACCUAUAAGACUGGGAUAACUUCGGGAAACCGGAGCUAAUACCGGAUAAUAUAUUGAACCGCAUGGUUCAAUAGUGAAAGACGGUUUUGCUGUCACUUAUAGAUGGAUCCGCGCCGCAUUAGCUAGUUGGUAAGGUAACGGCUUACCAAGGCAAAGAUGCGUAGCCGACCUGAGAGGGUGAUCGGCCACACUGGAACUGAGACACGGUCCAGACUCCUACGGGAGGCAGCAGUAGGGAAUCUUCCGCAAUGGGCGAAAGCUUGACGGAGCAACGCCGCGUGAGUGAUGAAGGUCUUCGGAUCGUAAAACUCUGUUAUUAGGGAAGAACAAAUGUGUAAGUAACUAUGCACGUCUUGACGGUACCUAAUCAGAAAGCCACGGCUAACUACGUG